GAUGAAGAACGUAGCGAAAUGCGAUAAGUAAUGUGAAUUGCAGAUUUCAGUGAAUCAUCGAAUCUUUGAACGCACCUUGCGCCUUGUGGUAUUCCACAAGGCAUGCCCGUUUGAGUAUCAUUAAAUCAUCAACUCUAAAACCUUUGUGGUUUUUUUAGAGCUUGGUCUUGAGGGUUUUGCAGGCUUUUUUUUUUUCGAGUCUGCUCCCUUUAAAUGCAUUAGCGAGACUUCCCUAUGCUGAACCGUCUCUUUGACGUGAUAAUUAUCUGCGUCGAAUUUUGGUUCUCGUUGGGCUUGCUUCUAAUCGUCUGUUAAAGACAAAACGGAUUUGUGUGCAUAUAUGCGCCUUUUUCCAAAACCUUUUUUGAUCUCAAAUCGGGUAGGACUACCCGCUGAACUUAAGCAUAUCAAUAAGCGGAGGA
rnacentral:misc_RNA from 1 species